CUGAAGAGGAACAACAGUCCCUCACACACAGGAGGAACUUCCAGCCGGACACGGACUCUUGGUUCAGCUCUGGUUUGGAAUGGAAGCGACAUUUCUACCUGUCGUCUUGUCUGUGCUGCUGCUUGACGCUUUAGGUGAACGUGUGGUUCUGAAUGGAACCAGGGGGGGUCCGCUGCUCUGGCCCUGCCAUCAGACCUUCAGUGAACCCUUUCAUCCUGAGGAGAGCUUCAUCUUCUGGCAGACUCUCGACAAGUCGAACGUUUUGCACGUUUACAGGAAAGGACAACAGGAGUUUCAGUACCAAAGCCAGUCGUUUAGGAACCGGACCACAGUGUACCCGGAUCAGUUUCGUUCCGGGAACCUCUCCCUCCUCAUUGACCCACUGAUGCUGCAGGACGACCAGAUGUUUGUGGAGGUUGUGCUGAUGUCAGAAAUGAAAUCAACUCAGAAGCUCUGUCAGACCGUUGUGUAUGUAGCAGCUCCGUUCCAGGUGCCUCAGAUCGACAUAGACCAAGCAAAGCAGACAGCAACCUGCAGCACAGCGGGCGGGUUCCCUGAGCCCGUCCUCACGUGGAGCUCUGUGGAAGGAGGCCGGAGUCUGGAGCCCAGAGCGACUACUGUGAGCCCCAGAGGAAACACCUUCAACGUCAGCAGCCGCGUGUCCAUCGCAGGGUUAAGCAGCGUGACCUGCGAGGUUUACAACCCCACCUCCAACCAGACGCUGAGCGCAAGGGAGGAUGUCUCCCCUUCCGGGAAUCCAGUGCUGCUUGCCGUCAUCAUCACCUCCAUCGUGCUCUGUCUUCCUCUGGGUCUGCUGAUCUGCAAGUGUAGAAAACACCAUGAAAAGAAUGAUCCACAACAGGCUGUUGGUUAAGCUUCAGUUAGAUGACAUCAUCAUCUAGAAGUCCCUGCAAGAGUUUGGAAAUAUAGGAAAAUAAAAGGACAAAGUAUUCAUGUCA
rnacentral:lncRNA from 1 species